rnacentral:rRNA from 1 species
GAUGAACGCUGGCGGCGUGCCUAAUACAUGCAAGUCGAGCGAACGGACGCGAAGCUUGCUUCUCUGAUGUUAGCGGCGGACGGGUGAGUAACACGUGGAUACCCUACCUAUAAGACUGGGAUAACUUCGGGAAACCGGCGCUAAUCCCGGAUAAUAUUUUGAACCGCAUGGUUCAAUAGUGAAAGACGGUCUUGCUGUCACUUAUAGAUGGAUCCGCGCUGCAUUAGCUAGUUGUUAAGGUAACGGCUUACCAAGGCAACGAUGCAUAGCCGACGUGAGAGGGGGAUAGGCGACACUGGAACUGAGACAGGGACAAGGCGCCUAAGGGAGGCAGCAGUAGGGAAUCUGACGCAAUGGGCGAAAGCCUGACGGAGCGACGCCGCGUGAGUGAUGAAGGUCUUCGGAUCGUAAAACUCUGUUAUGAGGGAAGAACAGAUGUGUAAGUAACUGUGCACAUCUUGACGGUACCUAAUCAGAAAGCAACGGCUAACUACGUG